AGAGCAAGUCCUAUACGACCAGCUCCCUCUGAAUUCCCCCAGGUCUUGACCGAAGCAAGGGUAGGAGGUUGUAGCGGUGCGAUGUAGUCAGCUUGCUCU
rnacentral:SRP_RNA from 1 species